AUAUUUAUCAAUUGAAUAAAGUCUAUUUUGAAAAUUAAAAAAAAAAGGUUCUGCCAGGACGAGGCCAUCCCAUUGCUGACACCUGCGAUGUCCCCAAAUGCGGGAUCCUCGACUGCAAACUUUGUGGUAGUGGGGGACUGCGUUCGCGCUCUCCCCUG